GACGAACGCUGGCGGCGUGCUUAACACAUGCAAGUCGAACGGAAAGGCCCUGCUUUUGUGGGGUGCUCGAGUGGCGAACGGGUGAGUAACACGUGAGUAACCUGCCCUUGACUUUGGGAUAACUUCAGGAAACUGGGGUUAAUACCGGAUAGGAGCUCCUGCUGCAUGGUGGGGGUUGGAAAGUUUCGGCGGUUGGGGAUGGACUCGAGGCUUAUCAGCUUGUUGGUGGGGUAGUGGCUUACCAAGGCUUUGACGGGUAGCCGGCCUGAGAGGGUGACCGGCCACAUUGGGACUGAGAUACGGCCCAGACUCGUACGGGAGGCAGCAGUGGGGAAUCUUGCACAAUGGGCGGAAGCCUGAUGCAGCAACGCCGCGUGCGGGAUGACGGCCUUCGGGUUGUAAACCGCUUUCGCCUGUGACGAAGCGUGAGUGACGGUAAUGGGUAAAGAAGCACCGGCUAACUACGUG
rnacentral:rRNA from 1 species